CGGACGGGUGAGUAACGCGUGGGGAACCUGCCUCAUACAGGGGAAUAACAGUUAGAAAUGACUGCUAAUGCCGCAUAAGCGCACAGUGCCGCAUGGUACAGUGUGAAAAACUCCGGUGGUAUGAGAUGGCCCCGCGUCUGAUUAGGCAGUUGGCGGGGUAACGGCCCACCAAACCGACGAUCAGUAGCCGACCUGAGAGGGUGACCGGCCACAUUGGGACUGAGACACGGCCCAAACUCCUACGGGAGGCAGCAG
rnacentral:rRNA from 1 species